CCUUUGCUCCACUCUUACCAACCUUUGCUCUGAUUUGUGCCAUGAGGACUAGAAACCUGGAAACCUACGUUUCCCAGCUACUCCAUCUCCCCACACCGCAGGCUUUCUGUUAUGUUCUGAUGAUGAACUACUGCAGGAACAUAUCAGGAAAGCCAAGAGAAUCCACAGACCCUUUGAAGGAACUGUACCACCCCUGCAGACUCCCUGAGAUGCCAAAAACUGUGAAUCUGCUUGCUUUCUCAACUGGGAGGCUCAUGGUCUGGGGUUCCCCAGUGAGGAUUGUCAGGCCUCUGAGCCCAAGCUAAGCCAUCAUAUCCCCUGUGACCUGCACGUAUACAUCCAGAUGGCCUGAAGCAACUGAAGAUCCACAGAAGAAGUGAAAAUAGCCAGUUCCUGCCUUAACUGAUGACAUUCCACCAUUGUAAUUUGUUCCUGCCCCACCCUAACUGAUCAAUUGACUUUGUGACAAUACACCCUCCCUACCCUUGCGGUAAUGUAAUUUGUGAUAUUCCCUCACCCUUGUGAAGGUACUUUGUACUAUACACCCUCCCCACCCUUGAGAAGGUACUUUGUAAUAUUCUCCCCUGCCCUUAGGAAUGUACUUUGUAAGAUCCACCCCCUGCCCACAAAAAAUUGCUCCUAACUCCACCGCCUAUCCCAAACCUGUAAGAACUAAUGAUAAUCCCACCACCCUUUGCUGACUCUCUUUUCGGACUCAGCCCACCUUCACCCAGGUGAUAAAAAAGCUUUAUUGCUCACACAAAGCCUGUUUGGUGGUCUCUUCACAUGGAUGUGCAUGACAAGGAUGUGUGUUUGGAGGCAGGUUUUCCCCUUUCGCCCUUGGUAACUCACAGUUUCUCUCCUGUCUUAUGGAAUUUGCAGAGGCAUGCUGCUUAUUUCAAAUAAUCUGUGAAUUAUUUCAGUUUUCUUGGUACAUUCCUGCAGUGGUUCUUGGAGAAAAUCCGCUGUAUGAGUCUCCACACACUGUUCUAUCUGUCCAAGUGGGAGCUGCACAAUUGUCCUGUCUGCUAUCUGCCAUCUGCCUCCUAAAUCCCCCUGUCUUUUCUUCAGCCUCUCAUCUUCACCCCUGCAUACACACAUAUACAGGCACACAAAGUUGUCACAGAGCCUUUCAAGAAUAUUUUGAAUACUUAUCUGAGUAUAUAAAGUAGAGAUCUGAAGCUCUAAAAAUGAAAGUUUUUAAAAAUAAAAUUUGGCUUAGGAUGUGGAAUCUGUCCUCAUAUCAUUAACAAAAAUAUGCUUUGGAUACCACUUUGACAGUCCUCCAACACCUAUAUCAGUCAACAGGCCAACACAAAACAGAUGGCACACUCCAAAUAAGGCACCUGGAGGAGGGUGCAUCUACAACGGACCUAGUUACAGAGGUGUUAAGUACAGGGGAAUCGCGAGAGGUAGUGUUGCAAUCUAAGACUCAGUAAAGAGAAGAGAGAAGAGAUUAGUUAACAGAGAAUUUAGAACAGUGACCUGGACAAAGGUCAGCUUAUCUUGCAAGGAGAGAGUUAGGCAAAUAAUGCCCUGACCUCAUUCUGCAACUCCCCGCUAAACUUCUGGGGCUUCCCAUUGGUUGGACAUAGGGGAUGUUAGAACACAUGAGAACCUCUCAAAAUCCAUACAGGCCAGGCUCUCAGAGAAGACAGGAGAGUGAAAAACUGGCAGAAAGUGGACCUAAAGGAGAAAGUGAAAGAUGCUCAGAACAAUAUUCUUAUUCAGAGGUUAUACAAAGAUUGUUUUAAUUAAAUAUACAAUAUAUGCUGGAA
rnacentral:lncRNA from 1 species